ensembl:lncRNA
CGUCCCUCCCCACUCUUCCACAGAAGAUCAGCAGCCCUGACACCGUGUCGCGGGCGUCGGCUCCUCCGUUCCUGAUGCGCUCGCGGCCGCAGGCGCUGCGAAUCACGGGCCGCGUCCUCACCCUCACCGUCCAGGACGGCACGCUGCUCGGCCAGAUCCAGGUCGUCGGGGGCAACAAGACGGGCGUGUUCGUGCACGGGGUCACCCAGGACUCGUCCGCCCACGCGGCGGGGGUCAGUCCCGGAGCCCAGAUCUUAGAGGUGAAGUACGAGCAGGAGAGGCAAGCCCUGCAGAUGGUGCUGGAGGACUCCACCCAGGAGGAGGCGC